rnacentral:lncRNA from 1 species
UAGCAAAAGUAGAAGUUUUGACAUUCUUCAUGCUCCGCACUAAUACAUGUCAUAAUCGUACUUGCCUCUGGAGCCACCUCACACACGUGUGAUUCAUGACGAUCAAACUACGACCAUCACUAUAUUGAUGCACCAAUGACAUACGGUGUAUUAGUAUAUUAUGUCGUGAGAUCAAUUUUAGGAUUGGGUCUAACAAAUAUAUCAAAUUGAUAUACAGAUACAUAGGAUCGAGGACCUUGGUCCAUUUCCUAUGGAGUCUCAUUUUUACUCGCAUCUCUCUCUCAUUCUCACAUUUUCAUUCUCCUACACUCAACAAGGCUACGAUUUAUGGAUUGGAUUAAAUUUGGGAUGAUUAAGAAGAAGAUCCCUCUCGAUUAGAAUGUGGCGAAAAGAGUCGGACAACAUCGAGUCAAAUUACUCUAGAAAUUAGAGACACCCAACUGUCACAAUCGUUCCCCCGACAUACAACGACAAAGGUAAAGGGGAAGGCAGUGGCAUCAAUCGCACCGUUGGAAAGAAUCGAGUCGAGUGACGAAACACCUUCUCAAUUAUAUUUAACAACCAGCUCAGUCCAGAGAUAUAGCAGCGACGUGGGCAGUAGUGUCUUAACCAAUGAUGGCGACGACCUCGGGGAGUCGAUAGUCUAAUCUACAUAAUUUGAGGGUGGUGCAUGGACCGCAAAACAGUAUUUUACGUGCCGUCUAAGAUUUAAAUCAUCGAAUUCGACAAGAUAUUGAUUAAGUUUAUACAUGGAAGGGGGAGAGGAAGGCAGUGGAUGAUUUUGAGCAGAUGCGACAGAACUUACACUAUGCAGACACAAAGCGAAACUUAUUAUAUUAAUAGUCGUCGUAUCAUGGAGAAUAUUUUGACCAACAACAGUAUGGUGAUGGUCAUGCUUCACCGAGCAAUUGUACGUUGUUCGAUCUUAUGAUACAAAACAACAAAUCAAUAGCAAAAGUAGAAGUUUUGACAUUCUUCAUACUCCGCACUAAUACAUGUCAUAAUCGUACUUGCCUCAGGAGCCACCUCAGACAUGUGUGAUUCAUGACGAUCAGACUACGACCAUCACUAUAUUGAUGCACCAAUGGCAUACGGUGUAUUAGUAUAUUAUGUCGUGAGAUCAAUUUUAGGAUUGGGUCUAACAAAUAUAUCAAAUUGAUAUACAAAUACAUAGGAUCGAAUACCUUGGUCCAUUUCCUGUGGAGUCUCAUUUUCUUCUCUUGUGGUAGAACUNNNNNNNNNNNNNNNNNNNNCUUUUUACAAAUUGGAUCAAGGUUUUUCUUUCUCUCAUCUACCUGUUUGCUUCUUGUUUUGCCCAUUGACUAUUAGAGGCAUAAGACAUGCAUUCGUUUCAAGUUUUUAGUUGUCUAGAAUUCUAAAUUCAUAUUGAUGUGGCAGGUGUUCAUGAGUUGAAUAGCAUCAAUUCAUAUUGUAAAUUUAUGUUUUUUAUUGAUAAUACUUCUCACAUUGAAGUAUAAAAGAUGAGAGAUCCCCAGGAAUCUCUGAGUUGAUAGGCUUUUUAUUUAUUGAUAACACUUCUGGCAUUGGAAGGACAUGAAACAAAGUGUCUAGAGUCACAACGGACAUUGAAAGGAACAUAUGCAUCGAUUAUUAUCACAAACACCGUCUCCAGUAUAAGUUCUAGUGCAUCCCUCCGCACAAUUUGAAUCGGUACAUGGGCUGUCUAAGACAACUUUGCAGAUACGAUCAGGUUGUUGUGCCUCAACCACAACAUCAGCUGUUGCAAAGGUAAAUGCAUAAGUAAGGCGACCGUUACGUUUUUAUCUAGAUAUUAUAUGCAAUCAAACAGAAGUUUUUAUAUUGUUGAUAAUAGCAUGAGGUAAUACUGUCACAUGAGUUGUUUAAGUUAGGUGACAAUUACAUUUUUAUCUAGAUAUUAUAUGUAAUCAAACAUGAGUUUUUAUAUUGUUGAUAAUAGCAUGAGGUAAUACUAUCACAUGUGUUGUUAAUCUUAUGCUGAAUUCUGUCCUCUCGUUAAGACACCCAAAUAUAUAUCGCACCUAUUUUAGAAACCAUGAAUUAGAAUCACUUUUUGUGGAGUUUGAUGUGGUAGGAGAAAGCUAGGAGAAAAUGCAAUUUUAUUUUUAUUUUUGCACCUUGAUAUGAUGAAGCCAAAUCUCAAGAGAAAAAAAAAAAGGUAGGUUGGUUGAAGCCAAAGAACCUGUACACAAAAAUUGUACCUUUUUUUUUCUUACCCAAUGCAUAUUGAUGAUGAGUUGGUUUAAUCUUUUACUAUGACUUGGUAUUGACUAUUGAGAAUUAAUUAAAAUUACCAACAUGAUUAACCAACCCAUGAAUACCUCAAAGAGUAUGGUUGUUUAGAUAUUUAUUUAGCAUGAACUAAAGACUUUUGUUUAGACCAUCAUAUCAAAUGCCCUCUUAAUAACAAUUCAAGAAAAGAAAAUCAUAUUGAAAUAAGAACUCUAUUUUGACCCCACUUUUCUCAUAAAAUAUGGUUCAAUCAAAAUCUAUAAUACCU